CAUCACCGGCGCGUCACUUUCGUGCCGGAGGUCGCUUGGCCGACAGGGCGAGUGCCUGUGCCCCGCUCCGUGCCCCGUGUAGGUGCUGCUGCAUUUGUUGGCCGUAGUAAACGCUGGUCGCUGCCCGGAGUCCUCUCUCUCCCUCCCUCCUCUCGUGUGUGUCUGUGUGUGUGCCGGCUGUGACCGAAAAGUUGCUGAAGGCCGGUGGUGGCGGUGGUCUCCCCUGUCUGCUGUGUCCCUGGGAGUGGGUUUCUUCACUGAGUGUGUCUGUCACGUGUUUAUUAUUUUUUUUGGUGGAUCCCUCCCCCUGCACUAGCGCUCGUUCAUCCACUAGGCCUCAGCCCCGAAUAAGUUUUUUUCCCUCUCCCCUUACUGUGUGAAUGGUUGACCAGUGCUUUUAACAAUAAUUAUUUAAUAAAAUGUGUUUUAAUUUUUGGAACCACGUCUCCUGUCUUUUGAGUUAACGAACCUGUGUGCCUUAAGUUGUAAAAUUAAUUCUCUGGGUGAAAUUCCAAGGGUGGCGUUGUCGAGCCCCCUUUUUCUGGUAACAAUAUUAUAUUCACUCACCCCC